rnacentral:rRNA from 1 species
UGGGGAAUCUUCCGCAAUGGACGAAAGUCUGACGGAGCAACGCCGCGUGUAUGAUGAAGGUCUUCGGAUUGUAAAGUACUGUCAUUGGGGAAGAACGGUUUUCUUGAAAAGAUUGAGAAGACAUGACGGUACCCAAGGAGGAAGCCCCGGCUAACUACGUGCCAGCAGCCGCGGUAAUACGUAGGGGGCAAGCGUUGUCCGGAAUUAUUGGGCGUAAAGGGCGCGUAGGCGGGCCUUUAAGUCCGGUGUGAAAGAUCAGGGCUCAACCCUGAGAGUGCAUCGGAAACUGGAGGCCUUGAGGACAGGAGAGGAAAGUGGAAUUCCACGUGUAGCGGUGAAAUGCGUAGAUAUGUGGAGGAACACCAGUGGCGAAGGCGACUUUCUGGACUGUAACUGACGCUGAGGCGCGAAAGCGUGGGGAGCAAACAGGAUUAGAUACCCUGGUAGUCA